ACCCAGUUGACGAGUUUGAAAUAGGACGAAACGUGUGUCCUAGAU
rnacentral:hammerhead_ribozyme from 1 species